AGUGAACGCUGGCGGUAGGCCUAACACAUGCAAGUCGAACGGCAGCACAGUAAGAGCUUGCUCUUACGGGUGGCGAGUGGCGGACGGGUGAGGAAUACAUCGGAAUCUACUUUUUCGUGGGGGAUAACGUAGGGAAACUUACGCUAAUACCGCAUACGACCUACGGGUGAAAGCAGGGGAUCUUCGGACCUUGCGCGAUUGAAUGAGCCGAUGUCGGAUUAGCUAGUUGGCGGGGUAAAGGCCCACCAAGGCGACGAUCCGUAGCUGGUCUGAGAGGAUGAUCAGCCACACUGGAACUGAGACACGGUCCAGACUCCUACGGGAGGCGGCAGUGGGGAAUAUUGGACAAUGGGCGCAAGCCUGAUCCAGCCAUACCGCGUGGGUGAAGAAGGCCUUCGGGUUGUAAAGCCCUUUUGUUGGGAAAGAAAAGCAGCAGGUUAAUACCCCGCUGUUCUGACGGUACCCAAAGAAUAAGCACCGGCGAACUUCGU
rnacentral:rRNA from 1 species